UACGUAGGGGGCUAGCGUUGUCCGGAUUUAUUGGGCGUAAAGAGCGUGUAGGCGGCCAGGUAGGUCUGGUGUGAAAACUCGAGGCUUAACCUCGAGAUGUCAUCGGAAACCAUUUGGCUAGAGUCCGGAAGAGGAGAGUGGAAUUCCUGGUGUAGCGGUGAAAUGCGCAGAUAUCAGGAAGAACACCCGUGGCGAAGGCGGCUCUCUGGUACGUGACUGACGCUGAGACGCGAAAGCGUGGGGAGCGAACAGG
rnacentral:rRNA from 1 species